UACAGAGGGGGCAAGCGUUGUUCGGAAUUACUGGGCGUAAAGGGCGCGUAGGCGGCCCGCUAAGUCGAACGUGAAAUCCCCGAGCUCAACUCGGGAACUGCGUCCGAUACUGGCGGGCUUGAAUCCGGGAGAGGGAUGCGGAAUUCCAGGUGUAGCGGUGAAAUGCGUAGAUAUCGAGAGGAACACCUGCGGCGAAGGCGGGUUGCUGGGCUGAUACUGACGCUGAGGCGCGAAAGCCAGGGAGCGAACGGG
rnacentral:rRNA from 1 species